rfam:Gossypium raimondii Chr06_contig_372, whole genome shotgun sequence.
AGACCAUGGUGAGGGCAUCGUUGUACCAAUGACUUGAAUCGUUCCCAAGCUUCGUGAAGGCUUUCUCCCUCCAAUUGUUUAAACAUGACAAUCUCUCUUCUCAGUUG